GCACGAGUCCUUAUUGGUCGGCGCGCGAUGACGUGGCCCUCCUUUCCGAGCAGCCCAAGCCACAAGGCCAUAAUGAGGACACCUUGGACAGAAAACAACCAUUGGAUGGGGGCACGUGGUGACGGCGAAGGGAACCGACAUUCACACUUGGCUGCGGCAUCUGUGCUUUGAAGUGGACGACACGUGGCACGACGUGUAAGAUGGAAAAUGUGUAAGAUAACUGGAGUAUGAGGGUGGUUCUGAGCCAGUGCAGUGGCUGUGAUGGUGCUCUGCUAACAAUUCCUGAGGGGUGGCCUGGGUUGAGUCCUGGGCGUCCACGCAAGAUGAAACCCAAGUGUUGCGACUUAGACGUCUCAGGGCUGCACAAAUAUAAACUUCAAAACCGAGGAGCAAAAGCUGUGGUGAAAUGUAUUGCGGCAUGUGGAGAAACACCUGUUGCCAAUGUUAGCGUGCUUGUGUUGAAAUUUGUAAUCGGCAGAAAAACCAAACAUGCGGCCCGUUUGGGUAGGCCUAGAAUUGACUUUAGAUGGAAAAAACAGGCUUGUGAAAAUCAUAAGGAUGGAAAACCAGAGUUGAUGAAAUUGCCUAAAGGCUUGGGCUAUGUCAUUGUCGAUUACUUGAUGGAGACUUAACGGCAAAACUUUGGACAUGCCUCGUUUCAUAUCAACAUAUUUGCAAAUUACAUUGGUCGUGUAAUUAUUGGCGAUUUUUGGAUCAUCCCCCUUGAAACACCCGAGGCGUCUAAGCAAUGUGCAUUCACCAAAAAAGCGUUUGUAUUCGGUUAAGUCUUCCAUGCUAACUUCUGGGAUAAACGAGGUUUUAGUUCCAACCAGUUACAAGGGUCAUGAUUAGUCUUGCCAUAACCUCUUGUUAAAACUGAGCUGGGCCGUGGACAAAGUGUGAUCGCUUUUUUCCAAUGUCGCCUUUGUCCUUCAAUGGCAAUUGCCUCAUGGGAGCAAUGAAAUAUUGCCACAUCCACGUGGCAGUUUCUGAACUGGCUGUUCCUAAAAUUCGUAUCCCAUCCAUGACGACGAGGUUGCUCUGGGAAAGCACAAUUUUGCAGUGGUUCAAAGCAAAAAGCCGACAUGACAAAUUUCAGUUUCCACAACUACAAAAGUGGUGGCUAUGCCAAUGAAAGGAAAAGUUUUAAAAGUGUCGGUGAAAUCUUGUAAUUCACCAGCUCCUGAAUGCGUUCUACCGGAACGGUGCUGACUUGCUAUUUAUGCAUUUCGCUCCUAAGGCAUAAAAUAAACCACGUUAAGGGACUGGUAAUAAUGUGUAAGCAAAACUGUAAACAAAUUUCAUUGGCGCUGCCUUGUAACAGAUUUAUAUCAGCCUCACUGGAUGGAAAUGCACUUGAGUUACAAAAGACGUUCCCUUUGAAAAAAGGCUGAUGGAUGAAUUAUCGACGUUAACUUUGUCUUAACAAUGUGUGAACUAAAUUGAGGAGUGCUGUGUAAAUUCUGUAAAAUGCAUAUUGAAAGUCCCUUAAUUUAUUUUGCAACUGUUGUGGAGUAUCCUGCAGUUGGUUUGCGCUUGCCGUAUUUAUGGUAAAUUAUACAUGUGAAUUAAAUUGUAUUUAACGUAUUUCUUGUGAAUUGUGUAAUAAAAAAAAAUCUGCAACUAACGUUAAAA